GAUGAACGCUGGCUACAGGCUUAACACAUGCAAGUCGAGGGGAAACGACGGGGAAGCUUGCUUCCCCGGGCGUCGACCGGCGCACGGGUGAGUAACGCGUAUCCAACCUGCCUCUGACUGAGGGAUAACCCGUCGAAAGUCGGCCUAAUACCUCAUGGUAUCGUCUGCGGGCAUCCAACGACGAUUAAAGAUUUCAUCGGUCAGGGAUGGGGAUGCGUCUGAUUAGCUUGUUGGCGGGGUAACGGCCCACCAAGGCUACGAUCAGUAGGGGUUCUGAGAGGAAGGUCCCCCACAUUGGAACUGAGACACGGUCCAAACUGCUACGGGAGGCAGCAGUGAGGAAUAUUGGUCAAUGGGCGAGAGCCUGAACCAGCCAAGUAGCGUGCAGGAAGACGGCCCUAUGGGUUGUAAACUGCUUUUAUGCGGGGAUAAAGUGAGGGACGUGUCCCUCAUUGCAGGUACCGCAUGAAUAAGGACCGGCUAAUUCCGUG
rnacentral:rRNA from 1 species